AUAAAAAACGCUGUCAAAAUUCGCUGAAUUAUAAAAGAUAUAAAAAAUUUUCAGUAAUUUAUUAAAUCAAGCUUCAAUAUUUAACAACUUAGUCAAACUAAAAGGAUAAAGUUAAAUGUGUUUAAUGGUAUACAUAUUACCUCUAUUAGUAAGUCCAUUUGUUUCUUGCAUUCCAUGCUGUAAUUGUUGUAUGGACUGUAUCGUACCGGAUGAAAAGCCAGACCCUGGAUAGAAAUAUAUAGCAAAUCUGACUUCAGCCACUGUCAGGGCUGGUUGCAUGUGCCAGUUUCUGACGUAUCUGCUAAUUCCCAAUGUGUCUAAACCCAUGUGUAAUAUUCAGCUGUCCAUUUAUAGCUAGUCUCUGCGUCGGUUGUCUACCGAUAUUCUGUCCAGGUAUAAUCAAAUGCUGUUAUGUAGAAGAUGACGGCGAGCCACCUUACGAGAAAAGUAAUAAUAUAAAAUAUUAACAG